rnacentral:rRNA from 1 species
CCCUUAGAUGUUCUGGGCCGCACGCGCGCUACACUGACGAAUGCAACGAGCUUAUAACCUUGGCCGAAAGGUCUGGGUAAUCUCCAAAUUUCGUCGUGAUGGGGAUAGAUUAUUGCAAUUAUUAAUCUUCAACGAGGAAUGCCUAGUAAGCGCAAGUCAUCAGCUUGCGUUGAUUACGUCCCUGCCCUUUGUACACACCGCCCGUCGCUCCUACCGAUUGAAUGGUCCGGUGAAGCGUUCGGACCGUGGCCUUUGGACGGUUCGCCGUCUGUUGGCUGCGGAAAGUUUAGUGAACCUUAUCACUUAGAGGAAGGAGAAGUCGUAACA